rnacentral:misc_RNA from 1 species
GCGACGGAGGCUCCGGGCUGG